UCUGCAGUUAUAACAAGUUUAGAGUUAUUGUCACUGUUCCUCACCUGUGAUCUCACUUUCAGCCAUCCACUAGUAACUUAAAGUUCCUUUAAAGCAAGGCCCUCUCAAGAAAACAUUGUACGCUAUGAGCAGCACAUUGUUCAUGCUUUUACUAUUUGCCCCGUCAAACUCCAAUAGUAGAAAAUGUGUAUUUAGUAAAUUGAAAACAUUUUGAGUCGUCUUUCUAAUCCUCAAGUGAGAGAGAAACUGCAAUGCAGACUGCAGAGUACUCAUGGCUGUUUCCUCAGGGGAGACUCAGCAUGGACCUCAGCAUCAAAACCAACACCUGAACUGUGUGCAUGCAUGAAAUGUGCACGUUUUGUGCUUUGGUGCUCUGCCUGGUUCUGAAACUCAGGAUAUUCUUGACGGAGCCUGAAAAUCUACUUGUUCACGUUUUAUUCCCACGUUUCUCCACAGUCUGGCUCCAUGCUCUGGCUGUGGACAGCUUAGCACUGCCUUCAGUGCCACUUAACAAGGGUCUACGGGCAAGUGCGUGAGUCACUUACAAGGUACUGGACAUGCUGUCGCCACAAAGCCCAUCUCAGCCCACCCAGAGCUGGGCCUCUCUGUGCAGAGAUCCCUUUGACUCCUGUGGGCCUCACAAAGAUUUCUGCCUGCAGGAAUAGCUUGCAGCAUUGAGGCUUAGAUGUGAUUCCCUGAAAGGUGCUUCACAGCACAGAUGAUGCCGAGGAGAGUCUCAGACACAGUCACACAUGUUAAAACAUGUGCCUUUCCUCCUGUUACGGCUCAAGAUACCCCCUGAACUUGCCAGGCAGCACCGUGAUUAUGAAGCUGAUCAGUAAGAAGCUUUUUCUUCAGGGCUCAUCCUGAGCAGAACUUUCCUAAAGCUGGAAGUCGUUGUUAUGCAGGGUGGUAUUUUGGUCUGGGCCCAGAGCUAGCACUCAGGUAUUCACUAACUCACUCUUGGCAGGGGCCCAUGAGGCAUUGCUUUCAUAAUCUUUAAAGCAUGAACAGAUACUACCUGAAUUCCAACCAAGUCCUCCCAGGCAGACCAUAAAGCUGAAUGUACAGGGGUAGAGUAUUGGGAAUGCUAGCUGCAAAACAGUUAAACCCUUCCCUGAAGUCUCGGAUGUCACAUUAUUUGCAUGAUUCACAGUUAACAGAUGGGCUUAUGCCUAUAUUCAGGGGGACCAUUCUUCAAUUGCAAUCAUUAAAUAAUAAUUAUGACAGUUUAUACUGAAAGGAAAACAAUUUUGUGAUGACCCCAUUACAUCAUUUUUUAUUUCUUUGGUUUGUUUGUUUUAGUUCCAGUCUUAAAGAAGAAAAUCCCUUUUCUCAGUUCUCAUUUGCAAAAUAUGCAGCUAAGAGGACUUUGCCCACCCACACACUUCAACAUUUCAGAUAUCAGUAUUUCCAUCCAGGGCUGGAUGAACUCUUUCUAAACCCGUCUGGAGGAAACAUGGUUGAAAUCUUUGCAGCAAGAGAGUGAAAAACAGUAGUAGAUGCAAACACUGCCAUCUCUGCUCUGCCACCAUUUUUCACUGCAGUUUUGAAUAAACUGUUCAAAUAAUCUGUUCUAUGCAGGAAAGCACAGCACAGAAAUCCUCACCCACUGCCAAGAGUUAGCAGAGUUAUCAAGCUAAAAAAUUCUUCAAAUGAUAAAAAAGGCCUUGCUGCAUAGCAUUGGAUUAAAGGACACUGGAUUAAAUCUUCCAGGAGUUCAGAUUAUCUCACAUACAUCUGCUUCAGAGCUUCUGACACCUUCAUCUGGAGACACUCAAUAUGGCCUUGCUCAAGCAUGGGACUUGAACUGGACCAUGGGCCUGAAAAAGUGUGUGGUAUCUGUGCUGCUCCUCCCCGUUGUCUCUGCCUGUGGCUACCCCUACAACACAGGAAAAUUCACCUUACAAUAAGAUGUUCCUGACAGCCUCUGUGUGCUGAGGAUUCUGCUGCAGAGGGAUAUGACAUGUAUCCUGGGGCAAAUUUCAACAUCGCAAAUCAGUCUGGGAAUAAGGCCUCAAUUACAUGCAGAUUUAACCUGCAGGUGGGCACGGGAGCCCCUUGGUGCUUAUCGUGGAAAACAGUCAAGGUCAUCAGAGUGGGAGCUUUACUCCUUUCCUGUAUUGUACUCCUUUGCUUCAUAAAACAGCCAUUCAGGUAUUUCUUUUUAAUCCACUUCCCAGGAGUGACCCUUCCCAAUAUCAGCAUCCCUUCUCUUGCCUCAAGUCCCUAAGUCGUGCUCCUGCCUCUGCCUCAAAGCACCUGUACCCUAACAUCUGCUGCUUAUGGCCAAAGAGCCUCAGAGCUCUGUGCUGGGUCACAGGCCCCAUGCAUUACUCUGGCCCUGUGCAACCGUAUCCCAAUUUAUGCUAUGACACUGAUGGAGCAGGAAAAGAGUUACGGCACAAACAAUUUUGAAAUCUGUGAUUCAUUGGAUGAAAAGACAAUAUGCUAUUGUUUGUCAGCUUAGGUACAACAGUAGGAACCUAACAUUACCAGUGAAUUCUGCUUAGAGAUGAAUCUCAAGCCCUAGUUCCAAAGUUAAAUCUCUCAGAGUACCGAAGAGGAGCAGAGAAGGCAGCGUGAAGCCAAACGAAGAACAACCGCACAGUGUGACUGUGUUUGUUCUCACUGUUUCACUGGAGGCCUCUUCAUACGACAGCUUUUAGCAUGUACUCCUUUCCAACAACACUGGAGACAGGAUGUCAGCUGAGACAGACUUGGUCUGAUCUGUGACGGCUGUUGCUGUGUAUUUAUGGUACAGCCAGGAGUGUUUCCAUUUAAUGCCUGUCUGAUAGCAGUCACAAGUUCCCUCUUCCCCAGCCUCUGGGUCAGUAACAGAACAAGCUCACCGGCCAGUUCCACUUAAUUACUGUUCGUUUUUGGUGAAACAAAGAAUAAAUGUUGCUGUGUGACCGUGUGCUUAACUAAUGUGCUUGAUUAUUAAUAGCCAGCUUUGGUUCCCCCCCCCAGCCUGUGUGCCACAAAAUACAUUUCCCUACUGUCUCCAGGAUCAAGCUGUCUGGGAAGCCACCGUUCUGUGAGGAGACUGGACAAAGACCUUUUUGAACUUCCUUCCAUUUUAACAGAAGACUGAUCUCCCUCUUUAUUUUUAGCAUGUUAUCAACAAAAGUUGCUUUAUUGCUUCGCUGUUCAUAGAUGAGGACAUAGUUCUGAUACGGACAAACAGCUCUACCCAGAAAAAUUCCCCAUAUUGUUCUCCCGCAUGGCACACAUGAAAUGCACUGCUUGGUUGUCUGGUUCUUCUCCUCGCAGGCCUCUCAUGCCCACCACUCCAUACAACCUCUCAGUUCCUGCUGAAAGCAGGAGGUGUUAUCCAUGCCCCAAAUCCACAUUCCCAGACUCUCCCAGCCUCUUAAAACCCAGGCUUCUCUAGUGCCCAGGCAUCAGAUCCAAACACUGACCAUUUGCAGAUCUUGUACUGCACUCAGGUGAUGCUCUUGAAGAGGCUUCUUGUCCUGGGCAGCUGUAGGAAGCCUCAUUGCUGGGCAUCAGUGGCCGAAGAAGAUGUGCAUUGCACAGGGGAGAAGACUGAAAAGAGAGACCUUCUGGAUGCCAUGCUACUGCUGAAAACGAGCCUUUUCUCUGGCGGGUCCCUCUUAUUAUUUCAAUAGCUAUUCCAUGUAUUUACUUUAAAGGACUUGAAAAUUCAUACAUCCAUUCUCCAUAUAUCUGCAUGACUCCCACUGGAGACACAAAGGCAUUAAACCCUUCCCCUGACAACAGCUGUAGGAAAUAUUGUGUCAUUGCUUCAUUUCUACUUCUUGAAGAGAGAGCCUUUUGAUACUUUACCUGCUAAUGCCAACAGAAUCCCUGUAUCCACUUCCUAGGAUUUGAGGCUUGUGCAAUAGAAGGCACAAUAUCUGCUUCUCCAUACAAUUUAUCAUUAAUAUUUCUUCCUGCUUCAACUCUUCUAAUGACAAGUUCAAAACAGUUAAGGAAAAGAGUAAAUGUAGGAAUAAUUCAACAAGCUGCUGGUCCCAGGCUGUAACAGGAGCAUGUACAGUGGUUAUGAUGUGCUGGGACUCUAGCAGGGGUCAGUCCUGCUAAGAUUAUCCUGGGAAUAAAUGUGUGCACUUAAAUGAUAUUACACUGUAAGAAAUUAGACCUCUGAGGUCCACUGCUUUAAAAUGAGGAAAUCUCAACUUCCAUGAUCUUGGAGCAGACCCAAAAUCAAAAGCUAUAAGAUUUUUUUACGCCACUCUGUAGACAUCUCUUUAUGUGGACCCCACCAGACUGCAGUGAGUGCUCUGCCUCGCCUAGGGCAAAUGACUGAGUUAAUCAGCUGGAUAACUGAAGAGGUCAUUCACGUAUUGGUCAGAUUCAAAGCCUCUGAAUUGAUGACCAAAGCUUGUGAUAGCAAUGCUUUGCUGGGCUGCACCAUGGUCACUCCUUGGCGGAGCCUCGGUUUCUUCAGCUGGGCACUUUUCCAUCAUCUCUGUGCUCGGUUCCCAGAACUGGGCUUCUUGAAGGAGCUGUUUGUGAAUGUGCUGCUGCUGACUUCAUCCCUCACACUGCAGCUAGCUCCCGGCCUGCACACUGAGUGCAGUCCUGAGCACCAAAGGGAACUUUGCUGCACUUUAAUAUCACCACCAGGGGCUGGAGCUAACCUUUGUGCAUCCCCUGCACAGCUGGGCUGACGUUAGCAUAGGGACUGGUUCUUUGACCAUUAGCCCAGCCACCAGUGCUUGAUGUACUCCCGGUUCCAUGACUGCCAAAGCUGAGUUGCAGAGUUCUGGACGCUAGCAGACAGCUUGCAGCACCCAAAGGUGCUGUGUCCUUGGGGUUGCGUUACCCUGCCAAACAUCAUCAGGUGGCAGACCUGCAGGAAUUCACCGUAUCAGUGUUGGAUGUUAGCACUGCCAAAGCCCUGAGCCUGCAGCCAGGUGUGGGCUGGUGUAGCCCACUGACAAGUUCUGGUCACUCCGCACGGAGCAGAGUUUGGCCUGUUAGCCAUGGCUCACAGGCUUUGUAGCUUACAAUAUAGCAGCUCAUGCUUGUGAUGC